AACACUGGCCAUAGCGGGUGAUAGCCCCGUACACGAAAAACUGCAUGAGAUGAAAUCGAGUAAGGCGAGGCACGUGAAACCUUGUCUGAAUAUGGGGGGACCAUCCUCCAAGGCUAAAUACUCCUGACUGACCGAUAGUGAACCAGUACCGUGAGGGAAAGGCGAAAAGAACCCCUGUGAGGGGAGUGAAAUAGAUCCUGAAACCGCAUGCAUACAAGCAGUGGGAGCCGACUUGUUCGGUGACUGCGUACCUUUUGUAUAA
rnacentral:rRNA from 1 species